rnacentral:misc_RNA from 1 species
UCAAACAGCGGCCUUCGGGCCUCGCUGCACCCUUGUCUUUUGCGCACCGUAUUGUUUCCUCGGCGGGCUUGCCUGCCGGUUGGACAUCAUAAAACCUUUUUGUAGUUGCAAUCAGCGUCAGAAAAACAAUAAUUAUUA